rnacentral:rRNA from 1 species
AAGAGACAGCAGUCGCCACGGUAAUACGGAGGGUGCAAGCGUUAAUCGGAAUUACUGGGCGUAAAGCGCACGCAGGCGGUCUGUCAAGUCAGAUGUGAAAUCCCCGGGCUUAACCUGGGAACUGCAUUUGAAACUGGCAGGCUAGAGUCUUGUAGAGGGGGGUAGAAUUCCAAAUGUAGCGGUGAAAUGCGUAGAGAUCUGGAGGAAUACCGGUGGCGAAGGCGGCCCCCUGGCCUAAUACUGACGCUGAGGUACGAAAGCAUGGGGAGCAAACAGGAUUAGAUACCCCUGUAGUCCCUGUCUCUUAUAC